rnacentral:rRNA from 1 species
UACGAAGGGUGCAAGCGUUACUCGGAAUUACUGGGCGUAAAGGGUGCGUAGGUGGUUCUUUAAGUCUGCUGUGAAAGCCCCGGGCUCAACCUGGGAAUGGCAGUGGAUACCGGAGAGCUAGAGUGCGGUAGAGGGUAGUGGAAUUCCCGGUGUAGCAGUGAAAUGCGUAGAUAUCAGGAGGAACAUCGAUGGCGAAGGCAGCCCCUUGGACCUGUACUGACGCUCAUGCACGAAAGCGUGGGGAGCAAACAGG